ACAUGCAAAGAGGAAACAAUAUGGCUAAAACUCUCAAAUUUGUUUAUGCUAUAAUUCUAUUUCUUUUCUUAUUUUUUGUCGCAACGGAAGCCGGUACAGGUAAGUCAUUUGUUCAUGCAUCCUUUUCCUUCUUUACUUUGUACUUACCACCUAAUCUGUUAUGAUUUUACUAACUUUAUUUUAUUAAUUAUCAUUUUCUUAUUACAGAACUUGUAGAAUGUGAAAAAGAUAGUGAUUGUCCAAUAUCUUGGCACGAGUUUUUUCACAAUAAGUGCUAUCUUAAUAAAUGUAAAUGGGUUUUCAGGUUUCCUUGAUUCUAUGAGUUUCACACCAAGGAGAAUGAGAUUGUGUGCUAUCAAAUUAAAUGUUAUGUGUAGUAUACCUUAAGAUAGAAUAUUCCAUUAGUUGUCAUUUAUUUAUUUAUUGUAAUGCCACCCAAUAAUGUUUUCUUAAUUUCCCUUUGUAUAUAUGUAUCAUGUUCAUGUAUAUGUAUAUUGUGUGUCAAAAAAAUAAAAUAAAGAAACUAGUACGUAUAAAUUUUGUAUUCUAAGAUGAUGGUAAGGUUGCAUAAAUAAAAUGAUGGUAAGGCAAUAGAGAGUAUUAUUUAGAUUAUUUAGGUUGCAUAAAAAAAUGUUGAAAAAUAUAUAUUUUUCUUACUUCAAAGCCUAUAAUUUUUUUAAUGCCAUAAUUUAUACUUAUCA
rnacentral:lncRNA from 1 species